CCGAGACUGUAGUACGCAUGCGCAGUCUCCGUGACGGCGGUACGCAUGCGCGAGCCUUGAGACGGCUGUACGCUUGCGCGAGCCAUGAGACAGCACUACGCAUGCGCUAGUCCCUGGUCUGCAGUACGCAUGCGCGGGCUUCGAAACGGCGGUACGCAUGCGUGAGCCACGGGACUGCAGUACGCUUGCGCAGGCUUCCAGACUGCAGUACGCAUGCACGAGUCGCCGAACGGCAGUACGCAUGUGGCUUCGUGGAAAUGGAUUCUAUUUAUACGUUUCAUGGCGCAUGCGCACCGGUGCCAGGAGGACUAAGUAAAAUAAAGACCGGCGGAUUUGCUGCGCAGAGUGACUAGAAAAUACAUAAACCACUUCCGUGUGCCUGCGCUCAUGUGUCCUGCUGCCUCCGCCACCAAACGCUUACGUCCGCAAUUCCACCAAUUGGCCACACGGGGGCAUUAGAGACCAAAGGAAGAAUUAAUAUUAAGCACGAGGUAUGCGUAAGUCAUCACGAGGCAUGCUGCUCAGCACCACCUUUGGGAAACAGCUAAUGGAUAUGUAAUAAAAAUCUCGGUACAGCAGUAACAUACAACGUUAUAUAAGAAUAAUACGAGAACACCUUGCAAGGAGGCGAGGGACUUUACAACCUCUGUCUGGGAAGUCCAGCACCAUUUGCCCGCAGACACCUCUUUGGCAACUGUUCUAGAUCCAGCUGUACAUCCUGUUCCAGAGCACAGCUCAAAACUACAAAGGAAACAAAGGGAGGUCUGAGUAGGCACAAGAAAGAGAAUGUAAUGUUUCCAUACUGAAAAAAGCAAGUAAGCAAUCGAAGACAGAAGCCAUUCCUAGAAUACUGCUAUGGGAAACAUAGCGGCAGAGAAGAAAGAAUCCACAUUUCCCUGAACAACUGCUCCAAGAAAAAAAGAAAAAUCAAUUGCUUUUAGACAUUCUUUGUUUGAAGGCAGAUACCAUCCUCACACUUUAAAAGCAUUAAAAAAAAAAAAAAAAAAAAAAAAAAAAAACCAAUACAGUGCACAGAGUAAUCUCCUCCAACAACACGUGUAUUUGGUGUAGGCAGCAAGUGGCACAGCUCUGUGUCAUAAAGAACUCAAGUUAUAAGCACCAAGCACCAAAGCUCCA
rnacentral:lncRNA from 1 species